AGCGAACGCUGGCGGCAGGCCUAACACAUGCAAGUCGAACGAAGUCUUCGGACUUAGUGGCGGACGGGUGAGUAACACGUGGGAACGUGCCUUUAGGUUCGGAAUAACUCAGGGAAACUUGUGCUAAUACCGAAUGUGCCCUUCGGGGGAAAGAUUUAUCGCCUUUAGAGCGGCCCGCGUCUGAUUAGCUAGUUGGUGAGGUAAAGCCUCACAAAGGCGACGAUCAGUAGCUGGUCUGAGAGGAUGAUCAGCCACAUUGGGACUGAGACACGGCCCAAACUCCUACGGGAGGCAGCAGUGGGGAAUCUUGCGCAAUGGGCGAAAGCCUGACGCAGCCAUGCCGCGUGAAUGAUGAAGGUCUUAGGAUUGUAAAAUUCUUUCACCGGGGACGAUAAUGACGGUACCCGGAGAAGAAGCCCCGGCUAACUUCGUGCCAGCCGCCGCCGUAAGAC
rnacentral:rRNA from 1 species